CCCUUAGAUGUUCUGGGCCGCACGCGCGCUACACUGACUGCUCCAACAAGUUACCUGGGCUGACAAGCAUCCGGGAAAUCUUGCAAAGGCAAUCGUGAUGGGGAUAGAUUCUUGUAAUUUUUGAUCUUCAACGAGGAAUUCCUAGUAAACGCAAGUCAUCAGCUUGCAUUGAUUACGUCCCUGCCCUUUGUACACACCGCCCGUCGCAUCUACCGAUUGAAUGGAGAGGCAAAAUCUUCGGACCGUGACGCUUGGGAGUCAAAUCUCGGGCUGUCGUGGGAAGUGGAUUAAACCUUUCUAUUUAGAGGAAGGUAAAGUCGUAACA
rnacentral:rRNA from 1 species